rnacentral:rRNA from 1 species
CGUGCCUAAUACAUGCAAGUAGAACGCUGAAGAGAGGAGCUUGCUCUUCUUGGAUGAGUUGCGAACGGGUGAGUAACGCGUAGGUAACCUGCCUUGUAGCGGGGGAUAACUAUUGGAAACGAUAGCUAAUACCGCAUAACAAUGGAUGACACAUGUCAUUUAUUUGAAAGGGGCAAAUGCUCCACUACAAGAUGGACCUGCGUUGUAUUAGCUAGUAGGUGAGGUAACGGCUCACCUAGGCGACGAUACAUAGCCGACCUGAGAGGGUGAUCGGCCACACUGGGACUGAGACACGGCUCAGACUCCUACGGGAGGCAGCAGUAGGGAAUCUUCGGCAAUGGGGGCAACCCUGACCGAGCAACGCCGCGUGAGUGAAGAAGGUUUUCGGAUCGUAAAGCUCUGUUGUAAGUCAAGAACGAGUGUGAGAGUGGAAAGUUCACACUGUGACGGUAGCUUACCAGAAAGGGACGGCUAACUACGUGCCAGCAGCCGCGGUAAUACGUAGGUCCCGAGCGUUGUCCGGAUUUAUUGGGCGUAAAGCGAGCGCAGGCGGUUUGAUAAGUCUGAAGUUAAAGGCUGUGGCUCAACCAUAGUUCGCUUUGGAAACUGUCAAACUUGAGUGCAGAGGGGGAGAGUGGAAUUCCAUGUGUAGCGGUGAAAUGCGUAGAUAUAUGGAGGAACACCGGUGGCGAAAGCGGCUCUCUGGUCUGUAACUGACGCUGAGGCUCGAAAGCGUGGGGAGCGAACAGGAUUAGAUACCCUGGUAGUCCACGCCGUAAACGAUGAGUGCUAGGUGUUGGAUCCUUUCCGGGAUUCAGUGCCGCAGCUAACGCAUUAAGCACUCCGCCUGGGGAGUACGACCGCAAGGUUGAAACUCAAAGGAAUUGACGGGGGCCCGCACAAGCGGUGGAGCAUGUGGUUUAAUUCGAAGCAACGCGAAGAACCUUACCAGGUCUUGACAUCCCGAUGCUAUUUCUAGAGAUAGAAAGUUACUUCGGUACAUCGGUGACAGGUGGUGCAUGGUUGUCGUCAGCUCGUGUCGUGAGAUGUUGGGUUAAGUCCCGCAACGAGCGCAACCCCUAUUGUUAGUUGCCAUCAUUCAGUUGGGCACUCUAGCGAGACUGCCGGUAAUAAACCGGAGGAAGGUGGGGAUGACGUCAAAUCAUCAUGCCCCUUAUGACCUGGGCUACACACGUGCUACAAUGGUUGGUACAACGAGUUGCGAGUCGGUGACGGCAAGCUAAUCUCUUAAAGCCAAUCUCAGUUCGGAUUGUAGGCUGCAACUCGCCUACAUGAAGUCGGAAUCGCUAGUAAUCGCGGAUCAGCACGCCGCGGUGAAUACGUUCCCGGGCCUUGUACACACCGCCCGUCACACCACGAGAGUUUGUAACACCCGAAGUCGGUGAGGUAACCUUUUGGAGCCAGCCGCCUAAGGUGGGAUAGAUGAUUGGGGUGAAGUCGU